rnacentral:tRNA from 1 species
GCGGGCGUAGUUCAAUGGUAGAACUUCAGCCUUCCAAGCUGAUAGCGUGGGUUCGAUUCCCACCGCCCGCUCCA